rnacentral:rRNA from 1 species
GCAGUCGAACGGGCGUAGCAAUACGUCAGUGGCAGACGGGAGAGUAACACGUGGGAACGUGCCCUUUGGUUCGGAACAACCCAGGGAAACUUGGGCUAAUACCGGAUAAGUCCGCAAGGAGAAAGAUUUAUCGCCAAAGGAUCGGCCCGCGUCUGAUUAGCUUGUUGGUGAGGUAACGGCUCACCAAGGCGACGAUCAGUAGCUGGUCUGAGAGGAUGAUCAACCUCACUGGGACUGAGACACGGCCCAGACUCCUACGGGAGGCAGCAGUGGGGAAUAUUGGACAAUGGGCGCAAGCCUGAUCCAGCCAUGCCGCGUGGGUGAUGAAGGCCUUAGGGUUGUAAAGCCCUUUCGGCGGGGAAGAUAAUGACGGUACCCGCAGAAGAAGCCCCGGCUAACUUCGUGCCAGCAGCCGCGGUAAUACGAAGGGGGUUAGCGUUGCUCGGAAUCACUGGGCGUAAAGCGCACGUAGGCGGAUUGCUAAGUCAGGGGUGAAAUCCUGGAGCUCAACUCCAGAACUGCCUUUGAUACUGGCGACCUUGAGUCCGGGAGAGGUGAGUGGAACUGCGAGUGUAGAGGUGAAAUUCGUAGAUAUUCGCAAGAACACCAGUGGCGAAGGCGGCUCACUGGCCCGGUACUGACGCUGAGGUGCGAAAGCGUGCGGAGCAAACAGGAUUAGAUACCCUGGUAGUCCACGCCGUAAACUAUGGAUGCUAGCCGUUGGCGAGCUUGCUCGUCAGUGGCGCAGCUAACGCUUUAAGCAUCCCGGCCUGGGGAGUACGGUCGCAAGAUUAAAACUCAA